rnacentral:rRNA from 1 species
UAGGGAAUCUUCCGCAAUGGGCGAAAGCUUGACGGAGCAACGCCGCGUGAGUGAUGAAGGUCUUCGGAUCGUAAAACUCUGUUAUUAGGGAAGAACAAAUGUGUAAGUAACUAUGCACGUCUUGACGGUACCUAAUCAGAAAGCCACGGCUAACUACGUGCCAGCAGCCGCGGUAAUACGUAGGUGGCAAGCGUUAUCCGGAAUUAUUGGGCGUAAAGCGCGCGUAGGCGGUUUUUUAAGUCUGAUGUGAAAGCCCACGGCACAACCGUGGAGGGUCAUUGGAAACUGGAAAACUUGAGUGCAGAAGAGGAAAGUGGAAUUCCAUGUGUAGCGGUGAAAUGCGCAGAGAUAUGGAGGAACACCAGUGGCGAAGGCGACUUUCUGGUCUGUAACUGACGCUGAUGUGCGAAAGCGUGGGGAUCAAACAGG